UGUAUUACAGCGUACAGAUCAUCCGCGGUGAUUAAAGUCCCCGAAAAACAAAUUGCCUGGUGGUGUGCAAGGAAUAAACAAACAAUUUGGGAGAGUAGGUACUAUCAAUCAUUGGCCUUGGAUAGUGCAAUUUACAAUUAUUCAAUGGAUUUUAGUUUCAUAUUUUGUUGUUAUUCAUAAAACGUUUAAGUUGUGGGGCCGAACAUUUAUAUUUUUAUCAUUCUAUAAGUGCGACAACUGGCCAAAAGGAUUUCAGGUCAGAACGCGUUUGACGCACGUACAAGUUAGACUACCGUAAACAUUUGUAAUUAUAACUCGGGGGGACUCCAGCAACCAACUUCAACCAAACUUCGGGACUAUACACAGAAUGGUCAAACCGACGACGAGGGGAUCGAGUAAUCGACGGCCAAUCUGGAAUAGAUAAGGAAGGUCUUGCGUAGGUUCCCGGAGCUUAGAGAAUCUCCAGCGUAGACUAACCGAAGCGUCAGCAAGAGCGAGAAGUACCACGCGAGUGCUGGCUG